rnacentral:lncRNA from 1 species
UCAUAAGAAUUCUCUACCUUUUUAAUCUGAUUUAUUUCAAUUAAAAUUAGAUAUAAAUGGUAUAUGAUCAGUCUCUUUAAGCAGGUAUAAGAGGCACCCAUCUAAUACAUGUCAAGUAGUUGGGGGGGCGCCAACUCUUGGUGCCCCACAAUAGGGUUUCUAUCCAAAUAAGAAUGGGGCAUGGCCCUACCUCUCUCUCCUCCAUGCCAUGCCACAUA